AAAGAAGAGGAGGCGGAGGAGAGCGCGACGGGACGGACGCGGGCGGGAGCGCAGCAAGCCCUCCCGGCUCCGCCGCGGCGCCUCGCGGGUCCGGGAGGCGAGGGGGCCCCGCGGGGAGACGCUGUGACAACUUUCGUUUCCCCCCGCCCCCCCGAGGGAGCCGCGAGGUCUGCGGCCCCGAAAAACAAGACAUGAAUAACCCAUUUCACAGAUGAAGAAACUAAGACCUUAGAUUAAUUUAUCCAAAUCCCAAAGCGAGUGGACCUGGAGCAAAGACCUUCUGACUCAUUCUCAGUGCAGGAGACACGAGCUCAAUCCCUGGGUCGGGAAGAUCCCCUAGAGGAGGAAAUGACAACCCACUCCAGUGUUCUUGCUUGGGAAAUCCAAUGCGCAGAGGAGUCUGGCAGGCUACAGUCCAUGGGCGCAAAGAGUUGGACUUGACUGAGGAACUGAGCACAAGCAGCUUCCUAAUACUGUUACUCCCCCGGCCUCAGGAGAGGAAGCAAGAAGACAGAUUCAGUGACUCAGAUUAGCCCAGGAGCCUGGCGGGAUGCUGCUGCCCCUUCCC
ensembl:lncRNA